UGGCCCGUAGUUCAACUGGCGGAACGCCUGGUUUUGAUCCAGGAGGUUGCAGGUUCAAGUCCUGCCGGGCCAGCAA
rnacentral:tRNA from 1 species